rnacentral:lncRNA from 1 species
CAACAACCAUUUCAACACCUAAGGCACCAAACUAUUAGUAGCCAAUCUCUAACCCCAAUUGUAAUCAAAAUCGAACAUGCUCUAAGCCUUACCAUGAUUAAUUCCUUGCAUGACCAAAUCAGCAGCUCUCUUCCUCUCCAAAACUUGUUGUUGUAGAUCCCCAAAUCUCAUGCAUAUGCCCCAAAAUCGACGAAGACACAGUACUCCACACCUCACAGAUACCAAAACAGCUGAUAAUCCAGUUCAGUACAGAGGCUUCGACUAAGAAAAGGAAGACGGGGUUACCUAUCAAAUACUGAGAGCGGCGGAGCUAGGGUGGAGCCAUGGCGGCUCUAAUCGGAACUAGAGAUCUGGACCGGCCUCGCCUCGCCGUGCACAGUUAUAAAAGAGAGAAGAGAGAUUGAAUCAUUUGAGAGAUUGAAUCGAUUUGAGAGAAGAGUGAGAAAGCUAAGUGAGCGACAGAGUUGAGAGAGAGGGCGAGAGUCUCGAUCUGUUUGAGAGUGAGAGUUGAGAGUCGAUCUGUUUGGUGGGUUUAGGGUGAAUGAAUGCGAGGGAGAGAGAGACAUCGAUAUGAAUGCGAGAGAGUGAGAGUGUGAGACUAGCGUUUAGGGUUGGUGGGUAUGUUAUUAAAUUUGUCUAACUUUUUCACACAACAGAAUAUAUACUCGGAGGGAAACUUUGGAGCCAAAACUAUUUUGACAUAGCACACCAAAUCGAUAGAGGCAAACUUUGGAGCCAAAACGACUUUGGCAUGCCACCAGAUUUUCCAGUCACAUAACAAAAUGUUUUAAACUGUUGUAUAUAUUUUCUAAACUUGCACUAGGUAUUGCCUAGUAUAAAUUGUAACAACAUCAUACAACAAAAAAAUAAAAGUCUAUUGUCCAAACAUUUUGCAUCUUGCACGACUUUCAAUUUGGUGAUGGGGGAAUCCUUCCGUCAAAAUUUUCAUAAACCAUACAACAUAAAAUUAGCAUCAUUGUUGUGUUUUGAACUCUUGAAAUAUAACCUGACAAUUUUGUGUCAUCAAACAACAAAACUUUGUAACUUUACGUUAUAUAUAACAGUUCACUUCAUCAGACAAGUAAGGAAGCCUAAAAGAUUGUCUGAUGAGUGUUGUCUGAUAACGUUUUUGUAGUAGUGUAUUUUCAUCAGGUUAUUAUCAAGUCAUACAUUACAGCCAAGUGACCUAGGUCACAAUAUCAUACAUUAAGUUACAGAGUCACUUGCAACUAAAUAUACAGAUCAUUAUUUUGGAGGAAUAUUAGGGGAUUUAUUUUUGUCAUUGAAGUAAACGUUUUGCAAUUUUUAUAUCAUUAAUAGAGAUAUGUAAAUGUAAACUGAAAUCUUUCAAGAUUUCUAUGUCAAAAAGCUGAUGAAUAUCCAUUUACAUUUGUCUAUUACAGUGGGAUAUGAUGUCACAUGAGAAAGAUACAAAGGAAAUUGCUUAUAUCGCAACUGGGGAUCAUCCAGGAAAUCGCGUUUCGAUAAUUGAAGUAGAAAAUGUAAGUCCUUAUUUAUCCACUGGAGAAGGCCAAUGUCCUUUUCUAUCAGCAAGAGUGGGACUUGACAAUUCUCAGUUUUCGUUCUUUUAACUUUGCAGGGAGCAACGAAGGAGAUUGAAAUAUUCUACUUGCAGGAGAGUUACACAGACUCAAAUGGCUCCUACGUAGUUUACGCACCAAUUGACCAGUUCGCCAUGUCUGCUCUGUUGGAUGGCUCGAACCCCGAUGAGUUUGCUAUCCUUGCAU